rnacentral:lncRNA from 1 species
AUAUGUGUGUGAUUUUUGGUCCAAUCUUUACCAUUUCCUUUUCCCCUCUUAUUUAAGCUUCGUAAUUUUUGACUGUACAAUAUGAGAUCUAUGCUGACGUGGGCUUGUGUCCUUGAUAAACAUUAGAUGCUUAGCUUAAGAAGUUUUGCUGCUUCUCCUUAGCAUUUUAGUAUGAAAGCUCAAACCAGUAAGCUGGAGAUGUCAAUCCUUACCAAAAACAAAAUAUCUCCAAUUGAACUUGCCUCCUUGAGAUGGGCGUGAUUUGUUUCCUCGUUAUGUUUGUUACGAAUUCUCAUGUGACGCGCUCCUUCUGGAAUCGGAAGGAUCAUUA